rnacentral:rRNA from 1 species
GAAAGCAUGGGUAGCGAACAGGAUUAGAUACCCUGGUAGUCCAUGCCGUAAACGGUGGGCGCUAGGUGUGGGGGUCUUCCACGACUUCUGUGCCGUAGCUAACGCAUUAAGCGCCCCGCCUGGGGAGUACGGCCGCAAGGCUAAAACUCAAAGGAAUUGACGGGGGCCCGCACAAGCGGCGGAGCAUGUGGAUUAAUUCGAUGCAACGCGAAGAACCUUACCUGGGCUUGACAUAUGCAGGAUCGCGCCAGAGAUGGUGUUUCCCUUGUGGCUUGUAUACAGGUGGUGCAUGGUUGUCGUCAGCUCGUGUCGUGAGAUGUUGGGUUAAGUCCCGCAACGAGCGCAACCCUUGUCUUAUGUUGCCAGCACGUUGUGGUGGGGACUCAUGAGAGACUGCCGGGGUCAACUCGGAGGAAGGUGGGGAUGACGUCAAAUCAUCAUGCCCCUUAUGUCCAGGGCUUCACACAUGCUACAAUGGUCGGUACAGUGGGUUGCGAGACCGUGAGGUGGAGCGAAUCCCUUGGAAAGCCGGCCUCAGUUCGGAUUGGGGUCUGCAACUCGACCCCAUGAAGUCGGAGUCGCUAGUAAUCGCAGAUCAGCAAUGCUGCGGUGAAUACGUUCCCGGGCCUUGUACAC